rnacentral:rRNA from 1 species
GGUGAGUAACACGUGGGUAACCUGCCCAUAAGACUGGGAUAACUCCGGGAAACCGGGGCUAAUACCGGAUAACAUUUUGAACCGCAUGGUUCGAAAUUGAAAGGCGGCUUCGGCUGUCACUUAUGGAUGGACCCGCGUCGCAUUAGCUUAGUUGGUGAGGUAACGGCUCACCAAGGCAACGAUGCGUAGCCGACCUGAGAGGGUGACUCGGCCACACUGGGACUGAGACACGGCCCAGACUCCUACGGGAGGCAGCAGUAGGGAAUCUUCCGCAAUGGACGAAAGUCUGACGGAGCAACGCCGCGUGAGUGAUGAAGGCUUUCGGGUCGUAAAACUCUGUUGUUAGGGAAGAACAAGUGCUAGUUGAAUAAGCUGGCACCUUGACGGUACCUAACCAGAAAGCCACGGCUAACUACGUGCCAGCAGCCGCGGUAAUACGUAGGUGGCAAGCGUUAUCCGGAAUUAUGGGCGUAAAGCGCGCGCAGGUGGUUUCUUAAGUCUGAUGUGAAAGCCCACGGCUCACCCGUGGAGGGUCAUUGGAACUGGGAGACUUGAGUGCAGAAGAGGAAGU